rnacentral:rRNA from 1 species
GACGAACGCUGGCGGCGUGCUUAACACAUGCAAGUCGAACGGAAAGGCCCUGCUUUUGUGGGGUGCUCGAGUGGCGAACGGGUGAGUAACACGUGAGUAACCUGCCCUUGACUUUGGGAUAACUUCAGGAAACUGGGGCUAAUACCGGAUAGGAGCUCCUGCUGCAUGGUGGGGGUUGGAAAGUUUCGGCGGUUGGGGAUGGACUCGCGGCUUAUCAGCUUGUUGGUGGGGUAGUGGCUUACCAAGGCUUUGACGGGUAGCCGGCCUGAGAGGGUGACCGGCCACAUUGGGACUGAGAUACGGCCCAGACUACUACGGGAGGCAGCAGUGGGGAAUAGUGCACAAUGGGCGGAAGCCUGAUGCAGCAACGCCGCGUGCGGGAUGACGGCCUUCGGGUUGUAAACCGCUUUCGCCUGUGACGAAGCGUGAGUGACGGUAAUGGGUAAAGAAGCACCGGCUAACUACGUG